CCUACGGGAGGCAGCAGUGAGGAAUAUUGGUCAAUGGGAGAGAUCCUGAACCAGCCAAGCCGCGUGAGGGAAGACGGCCCUAUGGGUUGUAAACCUCUUUUGUCGGAGAACAAAACCCGGGACGUGUCCCGGCCUGCGUGUGUCCGAAGAAAAAGCAUCGGCUAACGCCGUGCCAGCAGCCGCGGUAAUACGGAGGAUGCGAGCGUUAUCCGGAUUUGUUGGGUUUAAAGGGUGCGUAGGCGGGCCGUUAAGUCAGCGGUAAAAUUGCGGGGCUCAACCCCGGCGAGCCGUUGAAACUGGCAGACUUGAGUGGGCGAGAAGUACGCGGAAUGCGCGGUGUAGCGGUGAAAUGCAUAGAUAUCGCGCAGAACUCCGAUUGCGAAGGCAGCGUACCGGAGCCAGACUGACGCUGAGGCACGAAAGCGUGGGGAUCGAACAGGAUUAGAUACCCCAGUAGUC
rnacentral:rRNA from 1 species